rnacentral:rRNA from 1 species
AUUGAACGCUGGCGGAAUGCUUUACACAUGCAAGUCGAACGGCAGCACGGACUUCGGUCUGGUGGCGAGUGGCGAACGGGUGAGUAAUGUAUCGGAACGUGCCCUGUCGUGGGGGAUAACGUAGUGAAAAUUACGCUAAUACCGCAUACGAUCUAUGGAUGAAAGCGGGGGAUCGCAAGACCUCGCGCGAUUGGAGCGGCCGAUAUCAGAUUAGGUAGUCGGUGGGGUAAAGGCCCACCAAGCCAACGAUCUGUAGCUGGUCUGAGAGGACGACCAGCAACACUGGAACUGAGACACGGUCCAGACUCCUACGGGAGGCAGCAGUGGGGAAUUUUGGACAAUGGGCGAAAGCCUGAUCCAGCCAUUCCGCGUGCAGGAUGAAGGCCCUCGGGUUGUAAACUGCUUUUGUACAGAACGAAAAGGUUUCUACUAAUACUAGGAGCUCAUGACGGUACUGUAAGAAUAAGCACCGGCUAACUACGUGCCAGCAGCCGCAGUAA